rnacentral:rRNA from 1 species
GACGAACGCUGGCGGCGUGCCUAACACAUGCAAGUCGAGCGGGGUUGAAGCGAGGGGUAACUCGAGUUUCUACCUAGCGGCGGACGGGUGAGUAACGCGUGGGCAACCUGCCUCAAGGACUGGGAUAACAGCUCGAAAGGGCUGCUAAUACCGGAUAAGCCUAUGGCCUCGCAUGGGGCCAUGAGCAAAGGGGAAACCCGCCUUGAGAUGGGCCCGCGUCCCAUCAGCUAGUUGGUGAGGUGAAGGCUCACCAAGGCGACGACGGGUAGCCGGCCUGAGAGGGUGACCGGCCACACUGGGACUGAGACACGGCCCAGACUCCUACGGGGGCAGCAGUGGGGAAUCUUGCACAAUGGGCGAAAGCCUGAUGCAGCGACGCCGCGUGAGCGAAGAAGGCCUCGGGUUGUAAAGCUCUGUCUGGAGGGACGAAGGAAGUGACGGUACCUCCGGAGGAAGCCACGGCUAACUACGUG